rnacentral:tRNA from 1 species
GGCUUCGUAGGAUAGCGGCUAAUCCACCUGACUGUCUAUCAGGGAAUCGCGGGUUCGAAUCCCGCCGGAGUCG